rnacentral:rRNA from 1 species
UACGGGGGGAGCAAGCGUUGUUCGGAUUUACUGGGCGUAAAGGGCGCGUAGGCGGGCUGUCAAGUCUGGGGUGAAAUCCCGCGGCUCAACCGUGGAACUGCCUCAGAUACUGACGGCCUCGAGGGAGGUAGGGGCGAGCGGAACUGUGAGUGGAGCGGUGAAAUGCGUUGAUAUUCACAGGAACUCCGGUGGCGAAGGCGGCUCGCUGGACCUUUUCUGACGCUGAGGCGCGAAAGCUAGGGGAGCAAACGGG